AGUGAACGCUGGCGGCGUGCCUAAUACAUGCAAGUCGAACGGAGUGGCGCACGGGUGGGUAAUGUAUAGCUAAUCUGCCCUACACUAGAGGACAACAGUUGGAAACGGCUGCUAAUACUCUAUAGUGUAGGAUGAGGCUAUAUUGUAUCAGCUAGUUGGUGAGGUAAUGGCGCACCAAGGCUAUGACGCAUAACUGGUCUGAGUGGAUGAUCAGUCACACUGGAACUGAGACACCGUCGAGACUCCUACGGGAGUGAGCAGUAGGGAAUAGUGCUCAAUGGGGGAGACCCUGAAGCAGCAACGCCGCGUGGAGGAUGACACUUGGCGGAGCGGAAACUCCUUUUGUUAGGGAAGCGGUACCUAAAGAAUAAGCACCGGCUAACUCCGUGCCAGCAGCCGCGGUAAUUC
rnacentral:rRNA from 1 species